rfam:Brachypodium distachyon strain Bd21 chromosome 4, whole genome shotgun sequence.
GGAUGCGAUCAUAUCAGCACUAAAGCACCGGAUCCCAUCAGAACUCCGAAGUUAAGCGUGCUUGGGCGAGAGUAGUACUAGGAUGGGUGACCUCCUGGGAAGUCCUCGUGUUGCAUUCC